UACAGAUAUCAAGAGCAGGAUUAAAUUCCUCUCCAACCUGCCCUCUCUGGCAAGGUGGAAAAAUGAUAUGGCUUUCAGCAACUAAAGGAGGAAAA
rnacentral:ncRNA from 10 species